rnacentral:rRNA from 1 species
GGUAACACUGAAUGGAGGACCGAACCGACUUACGUUGAAAAGUGAGCGGAUGAACUGAGGGUAGCGGAGAAAUUCCAAUCGAACCUGGAGAUAGCUGGUUCUCUCCGAAAUAGCUUUAGGGCUAGCCUCAAGUGAUGAUUAUUGGAGGUAGAGCACUGUUUGGACGAGGGGCCCCUCUCGGGUUACCGAAUUCAGACAAACUCCGAAUGCCAAUUAAUUUAACUUGGGAGUCAGAACAUGGGUGAUAAGGUCCGUGUUCGAAAGGGAAACAGCCCAGACCACCAGCUAAGGUCCCAAAAUAUAUGUUAAGUGGAAAAGGAUGUGGCGUUGCCCAGACAACUAGGAUGUUGGCUUAGAAGCAGCCAUCAUUUAAAGAGUGCGUAAUAGCUCACUAGUCGAGUGACACUGCGCCGAAAAUGUACCGGGGCUAAACAUAUUACCGAAGCUGUGGAUUGUCCUUUGGACAAUGGUAGGAGAGCGUUCUAAGGGCGUUGAAGCAU